rnacentral:rRNA from 1 species
ACUUAAAUUGAAGAGUUUGAUCAUGGCUCAGAUUGAACGCUGGCGGCAGGCCUAACACAUGCAAGUCGAGCGGUAGCACAGAGAGCUUGCUCUCGGGUGACGAGCGGCGGACGGGUGAGUAAUGUCUGGGAAACUGCCUGAUGGAGGGGGAUAACUACUGGAAACGGUAGCUAAUACCGCAUAAYGUCGCAAGACCAAAGUGGGGGACCUUCGGGCCUCAUGCCAUCAGAUGUGCCCAGAUGGGAUUAGCUAGUAGGUGGGGUAACGGCUCACCUAGGCGACGAUCCCUAGCUGGUCUGAGAGGAUGACCAGCCACACUGGAACUGAGACACGGUCCAGACUCCUACGGGAGGCAGCAGUGGGGAAUAUUGCACAAUGGGCGCAAGCCUGAUGCAGCCAUGCCGCGUGUGUGAAGAAGGCCUUCGGGUUGUAAAGCACUUUCAGCGGGGAGGAAGGCGKURAGGUUAAUAACCUYRKCGAUUGACGUUACCCGCAGAAGAAGCACCGGCUAACUCCGUGCCAGCAGCCGCGGUAAUACGGAGGGUGCAAGCGUUAAUCGGAAUUACUGGGCGUAAAGCGCACGCAGGCGGUCUGUCAAGUCGGAUGUGAAAUCCCCGGGCUCAACCUGGGAACUGCAUUCGAAACUGGCAGGCUAGAGUCUUGUAGAGGGGGGUAGAAUUCCAGGUGUAGCGGUGAAAUGCGUAGAGAUCUGGAGGAAUACCGGUGGCGAAGGCGGCCCCCUGGACAAAGACUGACGCUCAGGUGCGAAAGCGUGGGGAGCAAACAGGAUUAGAUACCCUGGUAGUCCACGCCGUAAACGAUGUCGAUUUGGAGGUUGUGCCCUUGAGGCGUGGCUUCCGGAGCUAACGCGUUAAAUCGACCGCCUGGGGAGUACGGCCGCAAGGUUAAAACUCAAAUGAAUUGACGGGGGCCCGCACAAGCGGUGGAGCAUGUGGUUUAAUUCGAUGCAACGCGAAGAACCUUACCUGGUCUUGACAUCCACAGAACUUWSCAGAGAUGSWUUGGUGCCUUCGGGAACUGUGAGACAGGUGCUGCAUGGCUGUCGUCAGCUCGUGUUGUGAAAUGUUGGGUUAAGUCCCGCAACGAGCGCAACCCUUAUCCUUUGUUGCCAGCGGUYCGGCCGGGAACUCAAAGGAGACUGCCAGUGAUAAACUGGAGGAAGGUGGGGAUGACGUCAAGUCAUCAUGGCCCUUUGUCGUAGUCCGGAUUGGAGUCUGCAACUCGACUCCAUGAAGUCGGAAUCGCUAGUAAUCGUAGAUCAGAAUGCUACGGUGAAUACGUUCCCGGGCCUUGUACACACCGCCCGUCACACCAUGGGAGUGGGUUGCAAAAGAAGUAGGUAGCUUAACCUUCGGGAGGGCGCUUACCACUUUGUGAUUCAUGACUGGGGUGAAGUCGUAACAAGGUAACCGUAGGGGAACCUGCGGUUGGAUCACCUCCUUACCUUAAAGAA